rnacentral:lncRNA from 1 species
UUUGUUAUAAAAGGGAACAAUUUGAGAUUAUAAAACACUUUGUUUUGUUUCGAUGAAAACCAUUUAUCCUCACUACCAAAAAAAAAUUAAAACAAUUUAUCCCUAUGAAAAAAAAGUUUUAGCUGCCAUUAAUAGUUUUACUCUCAAACUAUUUCAUUUUCAUUUAAAAGAAACAAAAUACAUUACAACUCUGUUUGUAAAAUCAUUUAUGAAACAUAAGACCGG